rnacentral:rRNA from 1 species
CCUACGGGAGGCUGCAGUGAGGAAUAUUGGUCAAUGGACGAGAGUCUGAACCAGCCAAGUAGCGUGAAGGAUGACUGCCCUCUGGGUUGUAAACUUCUUUUAUAUGGGAAUAAAAUGUUCCACGUGUGGGAUUUUGUAUGUACCAUAUGAAUAAGGAUCGGCUAACUCCGUGCCAGCAGCCGCGGUAAUACGGAGGAUCCGAGCGUUAUCCGGAUUUAUUGGGUUUAAAGGGAGCGGAGGUGGAUUGUUAAGUCAGUUGUGAAAGUUUGCGGCUCAACCGUAAAAUUGCAGUUGAUACUGGCAGUCUUGAGUACAGUAGAGGUGGGCGGAAUUCGUGGUGUAGCGGUGAAAUGCUUAGAUAUCACGAAGAACUCCGAUUGCGAAGGCAGUUCACUGGACUGCAACUGACACUGAGGCUCGAAAGUGUGGGUAUCAAACAGGAUUAGAUACCCGGGUAGUC